GACGAACGCUGGCGGCGUGCUUAACACAUGCAAGUCGAACGGAAAGUGCUCUUCGGAGUGACUCGAGUGGCGAACGGGUGAGUAACACGUGGGUGAUCUGCCCUGCACUUUGGGAUAAGCCUGGGAAACUGGGUCUAAUACCGAAUAGGACCAUGGACUUCAUGGGUUGUGGUGGAAAGCUUUUGCGGUUUGGGAUGGGCCCGCGGCCUAUCAGCUUGUUGGUGGGGUAAUGGCCUACCAAGGCGACGACGGGUAGCCGGCCUGAGAGGGUGACCGGCCACACUGGGACUGAGAUACGGCCAAGACUCCUACGGGAGGCAGCAGUGGGGAAUAUUGCACAAUGGGCGCAAGCCUGAUGCAGCGACGCCGCGUGAGGGAUGACGGCCUUCGGGUUGUAAACCUCUUUCAGUAGGGACGAAGCGCAAGUGACGGUACCUAUAGAAGAAGGACCGGCCAACUACGUGCCAGCCGCCGCAGUAA
rnacentral:rRNA from 1 species